UCUGAACCCUUACCUAUUCGGACUCUCGACCCUUAAAAAAAAAUCUCUCUCUGUGAGAUCGGAGCCAGCCAUGUCCGACGAGGAGCACCACUUCGAGUCUAAGGCUGACGCCGGAGCCUCCAAGACCUCUCCUCAGCAUUUCGUAGUUUGAUUGAAUGGGACGAGAGGGAUUCGAUUCCCUCCAAACGUAACUCAAAUUCAAAGAUCAAAGCAGCAGCGAAGGAAUUGGGUUGCUAUUGUUUUGCUAUUUUUCUCUUCGGUUGAUAAAUUUUUCUCCUACCAUCAAGGUAUGGCAGGGGAGAAGUUGGAUGAAAAUAUUCCUUGCGAGGAAAAUGGGACUGUAGAAUCUUCGAAUGGCAAUGGUAAUGGAGAAGCCGCUCAACAAUCUCCAACUGUUCAGAAAGAUGAGGAUGAAG